rnacentral:lncRNA from 1 species
AUGACAUCUGUGCCAGGCAGCAUGCACACCCUCCAGGCAUCAACUAGCCUGCCAACUCAACAGGGCAGAAUUGGGCAGACCACAGGACUAUGCUGUGCCUGGCAUACCACCAGUCUCCAGGGCAAAUGCCCAGGCAAUGCCUACUGCCAGGACUUGGGCAAUAAAGAGAGCUUGGCUCCGGCCUGGGUCCUGGGUCCAGAUCAAAACUGCCCUACCCACCCACUAACCAUUGACUUCUCACUUGGCACUAUCCACCUUCUUCCUCGCAUCCCUCCUUGGCACCAUGCCUGGCUAGCUGGCCUAAAGUCGGGGACCGCAGGCCUCUGGAAUAGACAGUGCACCUGUGUCUGGGCACAGCUCCUAAAUGAAGGUCCUGGACACUCACCUGGACUCACUCACUCACUCACUCACUCGGUAAGCAGCCCUCAUGCCCACCAACUAGCCCAUUCCCAGGCCCCUCUGCUUACAGCCCGCCAGGCCUUCAGGCUCUCCUCCCGCAGGAGCCAUGGCAUCCAGGGCCAGGCCAGGGCACACGUGCCCUACAAGGGACUCACACCACUUGCCCCACACACAGGCCCCUCCCUACACGCCGUCUCUGCCUCACCCCAGAUUCCCUUUCCCAGGCGGGCCCGACCCUUCAAUUUAGCAAACCAACUAAAUAAACGGAAGCCAGGAAUGGCCAAACCCUCUGCUCCCAAUAUGUGGCGCCCCUCCACCCCGUUCUCCCCAAGUCCUGGCGCUCCUUUGUGUCCACUCCGCUCUCUCCUUUCUCUUCCACCUGCUCCCACCUGCUUUCUCAGUGCUCCCGGUCCCAGCCUCCCAAGUGUCACCAUCCCAGGUCCUCCCCCACCCCCCCACGGUGCGCGGAGCUUAGCGAGCCCUGCCUUUCUCACCUACGGCCAGGGUCGCCGCUGCACCACCACCACCAAGCCCCGCGGGUCAGCAGGCGCAUGCGCGAGCCGGUCCCCACGACUCCAUGACAACCCGGUUUUAUGCGCCGGGUCUCCGGCUUGUCCCGCAGGCCUCCCGCCCAUUUCUCCUCCCCCUCGCCUCCGCGGACGCCUCCUCCGGUCACGUGACCCGGCUCGGCGGGAACCAGCACCACGGAGACUGCGCGGCGGCGCCGUGCUCCUAGAAGGGCGCUCGGAGGACCGCCCUUCCCCUCCUCCUCCCGCCCCGCCCCGACUUCCUCUGUCUAGGCUGGAGGACUGCGGGGAAAGCGUCGCUCUCUCCACAGCGGUGCUCCUCUCUGUGGUCGGCUCCGCCUCAGGCUCCGCCGCCAUCUUGUCGCGUGAUUGUGCUGAGGGCGAGCGCUUGUGA